CUCCCCUCAGGGCGCGUCGGGAAAUCCCUGCCCUCAGGAGAGAGCGGCUCCCCUCAGGGCGCGGCGGGAGGUGCUGACCCCGCACAUCGCGUCAUCCCUGGCACUCCUGCUAGAUUUUGUCGCUGCAACUGUUAGUUGGCUCUUGCUGUAAUUGAUGGACACUGCCAGUUGCUUGGACAGAUGGGAAUUAAUACUGGUGUUCCCAUUAGAGCUCACCAUCACAGUCACGCUGGCUUUGCACUGGGUUGAUGCGUGCAAGAGAGUGCGUGUGGAAGGAGCAAGCGUGGUUCCUGCCUGCAGUACUUGCCUUCCAGGGCCUUGGAGCCAUCCAUCCAACACAGAGCAGAUGAGCUGCUUGCCAGCAGUUUGCAGAACACAUGGCUUUGAGGUGGUGUGGAGAAUGCUUCUUUCCUGGUUGCUGAGAGUUUGCGGUGAGUGGGACUCUCAUCCCCGGAGGCGUUUGUGAGCUGUACUUACAGUUCACAGGACAGAAGUGUUCCUGAAAGAUGACCUGAAGUUCAAAUGAAGAUGCACUGCCAUGUGGCCCAGCUGUUUCCUCUGGAUCUCUGGUGACCCAGCACAGCCACAGCGGACCUGACAGGUGACAACCGUGAGGCACAGCAGGAAGUGAAGGCUAAGAUGCAAACACUGUGAUCCCAAGUGAGUUCAAGGACAUCCACCUUUCUUCUGAUGGCUGGAGCAGGACAGCGAUCCUGUUUGAGCAGCGUUGGAUUGAAGAAUUUAAGAAGGGGAGGCUGCCAGAGGAAUCAGGAUGCCGGAGGAAUGGCAGAAUAAAAGAGGCCAGAGAAGCAAUAAAAACCAGAUGACUCCAUGCCACAAGGACUGCUGCAAACAUGGAAGAAAUGUCAUGACUGGGCCAGCAAGUUUGUCACUGGCCAUGGCACAGAAACCACCUCUACCUGCCAGGUAAGGAACAACCUCCCUUGGGGUGUUUUCUCUCGCUUCUGCCCCAACUCUCCAAAGGAGCAGCGUGCUCUUCUGAGCCAGGGAGAGCUGUGAACACUGUCCUGCUCUCCCAACAGCCUGAGCCCAUCUUCCCAGCCCACCCCAGACACGGCAAGGCAGAGGUGAAGCUCCCCACUCAAACCCAGAGGCACUGACCAUCGGUGUCCAGCUAGACCUGUCACUGGGGUCUCAGGGACAGACAGAGCCACAGCCCCACAGAGGGGGGGGCUUUUUUCUAGGGCCCAUGAUUACGCUGGCAGGAAUUUCAGUUGGUUAACUUUUUUAGCCCUUAGUCUUGCACAAAAUUCCUACCACAGAUGAAAAGGUUUUCUAACCCAAUCAUCAGUUUCUACCCUCAUUUGCAUUUUUGCCAUGGGCUGAACGUGUCUUUCUUUGUGGUCCUGAUGUCACUUGUGUUCAUGAGGUUUCUGCUCCAUUGUGCAGGAUCCCAUUUGGGAGCCCCUCCUGGAGGCUAUCAUAGUUUCCCUCAAAUCCAGGCUUGUAAUUCUUGAUGUUGGAAUGCAUUUCCUAGUUUGCUUCUGAAAAACACUGCACAAAAUGUUUGCUUUCUGUGAAAUCUGAAGCUCUUCUAAAUUAGCAAUUCUGAACUGCUGAAGAAAAUGCAUGUAAGUGACACAGCUUCAAACCUGCAUGCUCUGCUUCUGCAUUUAAAAAGUACUCAAGCAAAGCUGAUUAGGCCACUAUCUUUAAAGUUUCAUCAAGACACCUCAGUAUGGCCGAGGUGGGUGUUUCAGACAGAGACAGCUUCCUGGACUGCAGUUAGGAACUGCUUUGCACAUUCCAUAUAGGCUGACUUGACUACAAAACCUGCCAUAAGGAUGUGCCCAUAAGGAUGCACAUUCUUCAUUCUGUUUUAAUUAACAUGAUGCUAUCGUGUCUCUUCAAAGACAGGCUCUGUUGUCGCUGCGAGUCCCUCUGGGAUCAAGCCUCUCCUCAGCGUCACCAUUGUCAGCGCAUUUGGCUGGCCCACACUUGGGGGACUUAUGUUUCACUGUAAUUCCUUCCAAAACACGCAGAAAAGGCUCUCACUCUCUCUUUCUCAUUAGCGUGAUGGAAAGAGCAUGUCUUGAGGCAGCUAUUUAAAGUCCCAGUCAAAUGGAACUACUGAAAGCUGUUCUUUCAGAGGCAAGGUCAGAAUUGUUCGAUAUGGUAACAAAUUUUCCAAGGCUUAUGCCAGUGGGAAGACAAGCACACAUUAUGGCCUUGUAUUUUCAGUGCACUGUCAAGUCUUUGUUUCCACACUUGCAGCCUCAGAGAGCUCGUGCUUGAGGGAACUGCCAUCUCCAAAACAUACCAACCUCCAUCCUCUUAAUUCCCCCAACUCCUCGUCCACCGUAGUAGGAAGCAUCCACCGUGGGCCACUUCUUGGAAGGCAAGGGCUCUGGUUCUUCUUCCUGACUUAAUUCAGGCCGCACUGAGCUGAGGCAGAGCAGAGAUCUGGACUUCAGCAACCCUGUUCUCCUCUGAAGGCACCCCCGGGGCAGUCCUUUCUCUGGCAGCACUCAGACAAGGAGCCAGACACACGGCGCACAGGGAAGCACAGGAGCGGUUCUAUGUGAGCAGCGUGGUAAGAUGAGCACCAUCAGACCAUACCUCUUUUGGGACUGGCGGAGGUGGAGGGGGAUCCUUGAUGACCUGGAAGAGCCAAACAUAGGAAAGAAUAAGGCACUGCAGUGGCAGCAGCCAAAGGCAACAGACCACGGUAAGAGUGACCUGCUUCCACCCGAGCCCCCACAACCGCCAGCGAGCUGGCAGCCUCUGCUGCCCGCUCCCCUGGGCAUCCAUCAGCGAGGCCUUCUGGAAAUUACCACCAUCCAUCUGCCAGACCUGCCAUCCCUGCCUGCAGACACUCUGGGCAGACGUGUCUGCCACCGCGCUUCCUGGCCGGAUGAGCCUCAGCCGCCGUGAGGGACAGCCAGUGCCGAGACCCCGCAGAGUCCGUGAGCAAUCCCGGAGGAAAAGCGUCUGAGGCCUGUGUGAGGCCCUGCACAGCCGUGGGCCGAGCUGCCGCUGCUGCUGCUGUGUGGCUGGGGAGUCUCUGGCCCAGUGACAAGUGUGAAAUGCCUUCUGGCAGCUCAGGCUUCACCUCUGGAUGUCCUGGACGCUUCCGCAGCCCUCACAUUUCCCAGCUCCAUGACUGUGCAGUGCCUGCACUGCAGUCACACUCCCACACUUCUGACACUGCUCCGGGUGAAGCCCACUCCCGGGAGCAUUUCUUACACCUCUAUUUAAAUCUCCCUACAGUCUCUUCCUGUUCCCUUUGCCACAUCCACACUCUAAAGCUCAGAGAAUGCCCAGCACUGACAGUCCCAGCAGGGGAGAGGCAGGCAAGGGACCCUCUCCACUGAUUUGGCUGCGAACUGCAUGCACAGGCACUCCUCCUCGAGAAAAGCAGGUUUGCAAGCUAACCUUGUUAAGUUUUUUGGUGACAUUGGGCCAUGUUUUGGGUUUGGGAUUGCCUGGAAAUGACUAAAAAAUACACCUUGAAUAUCAAGGAGUCCAUUUUUGCUAUGCCUUGAUAUUACACAAACAUAUCCAAAACUGCGCAUGCUGACAAACAACUCAAUGUAAUACAGGCUUUAAGUAACUUAAUUGAAAUAUGCCUUACUUGAGUCACUCUGUGCUAUUUAAUGUUAGUACUUUCAUUAAACACUGCCUAUGAGCAAUACCAUUGCAGACAGUCAGCACAGUGCAUGAAAGAAACAUAUUUUUCUGAUCAGUAGAGUUUUCCAUCUUGAUUUACAUUUCACUUCUCAGUGCCACCCAGGCAGUUACUACUGACUGCCUAAACAGGCUGUGGACUUUCAGCAAUGCAUAAAGGAAUUCUGCCCAAUAGCAGAAAUAACAUAUGGCACCCCUGGAACCAGCUUUCCACAGCCCUUCAGAUUUAAGUUAUGGAAUGGCUCAUUUGUCAAGCUCAGAGUGCUUUGGAUGGAUUGGAAAGUGACCUGUAGGUUUCAACUCUGAGACAUCCCUUUGCUGUUAGGAUGUUGCAAAACCAUGCCAGACAUUACUUUUCUUUAAAUAGCUCUGAACACUUUUUCUUCCUAGUCAUCAGGAGUUUCCAGCAUACUUAACAGAAAGUAAUUAUUUAAUUAGUGAAACAUUCCUGAGAGCCACACUGCUAUCAUUACCCUAACUGUACAUGAAACAGCAACACAGAGGGAUCGUGAGACAGAUCCUGAGAGAUACUUGGAUGCUGAGUUGGAUUUGCCAAAGCCUGGAGAUAUUCAGUUCUUGCUGAAAGCAAUUAGGAGACUGGAAACAGUAAAGCAGCGCUUUCUCUCAAUGAAGGGACACCUUGUUUAAUUUCUGUCAUUAUUUCCAUUUCACCUGUCCCUAACCAUCAUCCCAAAACAGUCUCUGUCAGGCCUGCCAGCUGUACAGGAGAAGGUCCUUCUGGGUGGAUUUGUGUGCCCCCAUAUGAAAUGGCACUGCCCUUCCCCAUCUACAGCUGUGCCACUCUGAAGGCUCACAUCUGUCUGGACACAGACAGCUUUGCCCAGCCAACCUCUCUGUGAUGAGGGAUGGAAUUCCUGCGGGCCCUGUGCCCAUUGGGGAUGUAGGAAUUACAGCUCCCUCCCUGACAAUCAAGGGAAACCUGACUUGUUUGAGCUUACUGUGGCUUCCUAAGGCAAUAGUCAGUGGCAGCUUUUGCUCAUCUCCUCAAGUGGAGGAUCUAAUCCUGUGCCAGCUCCUGAACUCGCUGAAGUUUGAGGGGAAAUUCAGUUUAAAGCCAAGCAAUCCAUUAAUUAGCUGUUAUUUCUAAUGGCUUCAGAAAAUCAAACUUGUUUUAAAAGUGACAGUGGUGUGAGAAAAUAAUCUGCUUUGAGUAGCAGCUCCUCACCCUGCUGACAGCACUGGAAUGUCAAUGCCUGCAUCCUUAUGCUUCCACAGGCUCUCACACUCACACACUCGAAUCACACGUGCACACACAAGGAUUCUAUUCAAUCGUGUGAUAUUCCAAGUGAAAUCAUUAGAAAGCUGUUUCUGAAGAAGAGAAAUCCAAGGCACACGUGCAGCUCUGCAUGGAGCUGCACACAGAUCUGCACAGAGGAAGACCUGAAUAUUUUAAAUUAACUUUCCCCAAGCUGGAUUCAGAUUGUUUCAGUGACAAAGCCUCUGAAUAAUGCUGCUGUCUUAUCAUCCUCAUGGAGAUAUGGGCUGCUUCCUCAGUUUGUUUGGUGUUAUCACCAGUCUCUCAGGGCAAAGCUCCAUCUCAUUUAGUGAGUUGCAAAAAAUGAAGGUUUGAGUUUGGAGAAGAACUGAUUUCUUUAAAAAAAUCAUUAAAAAAAAGAAGUUGGUGCUUGAGGCAGCAGUGCCUCUGAUCCACUCAUUAACACUUCUCUGCCGCUCCAUUAUGUGGGCAUUAGGAGAUGUCAGCUCAGAGCCUACAGCCAGCUUGCUGCAAUCAUAUGUUCCACAGCGAAGGACAAGUGACAGAACUGUCACAGUGAAACCCUUGAAAGUGGGGGACAAGGAAGGAAAAGGAAGAGGAGUCCCCCUGCCCCACCCUCUGAGUGUCCAAGGGACUCACACCAUGGAACGCUGUGAGACUGAGCCCCAGCCAGGAUGGAGCUGGGCCGCAGGCAGGGGACAACACACCCGCCUGGCUCCAGACACUUGUUCUGCCCACAACACCCUGCACCUCUCUUUUCCAUUGGAAUCUGACUCCUGUGCUCCUGCUCCUUCUUCCAGGAAACCAGGGAAGCAGAGCCAGAGGAAGGGAAGAGCAGGUCCUGCCCGGCCCUAAUGCUGCCUCUCUCCUCAGGGACGCUGCCCUGAAGCCCAGGACUACUCAGCCACAAGUGGCCCUUCCAGUGAUGGAUGUCCAGGCCUCAUGGGCAGGAGAGAAGGGCAGGAACUGAGCGAAAACCAGAAGGAAGGACCAGUGCUCUGCAGCAGGUUCAGUGCAACAGCGUGUGGGCCUGGAACACAGCAGUGCUGUAGCAGAGGGAGGCUCAUCAUAUGAAACCAAGUGGAGGUAAGGUGACUAACAGGAAGCUCCCUGGAUUUCUGUUGGGCCUGUGCUGUGGUGAAUGAGAACAAGCGAGGCUUUUUGUUCUCACCUCAGGAAGCCCAGACUGUGAGGGUGCAGAUGGAGGCUGAGAUUUCCUGCCCUGGACAGCCAGGGGCCCGAUGGACCCCCCGGGUCACAAGGGCUGCAGCAUGGUCAGUGAGAAGGCCACUUCCUCUCUGCCCCACAUUCCACAAGCCCCAGACAAGAACAGGUACCCAGACCAGGGAAGCAAUCUCCAUUUCCCAAGUCCUCCAUGCUGUCCUUGAGCUGAAUGAAUAAUAAACUUCCCUGCUCCCCCAGAAAGGAAUGGCAGGAGGAAAGUGAUCAACACUGCUGCUGCUGGGGUGAGGAUAGAGAGCACACUCAGAUAAAAGAGAUGGAUGUGUGCAGGGAUUAUGAAAAAAAAAAUAGGGAUUUCCAACCUGAGAGCCCCUAAUGGCCUACAAAUACCAAUUUUACUGAGAGCAGUUUUAAAGUGGUCCUUGAUGUCAGGGUAACAUCUGCACACCAUUAAGGCCACCCCAUUCCCAGUAUCAGCACCAUGCUGGUGCUGGUUCCUGUGCACGUGACGCAGACAGGCGGGGCCAUGCCCAGUGGAGCCCCAGCGCUGGAGCUGCUCUCCCCAGCCCUUUCCUGCCUGUCACAAGCCCCCCCAGAGCUGCCUCCCCAUCACUUCACAGUUUACUGCAGGAUCUGUUUCCACCCCAGCUUAGGGUGCAGGGGCUGUUCCCCAGGGUCUGUACUCACCACUUUGCAGCAGAGGGGCCAGAACCACCAGAGCAGGCCAAGCGCCACCAGCAGCAACAGCACGAGGACGGCAAUGAGCGCUGCCACGCCACUGGACUGCGGAGACAGCAGGGACAGCGUCAGUGUCCCCAAAACACCCGCUCGCCCCAAAAGCCAGCGACAGCCCUGCUCAGCCCAGGGGCUUCCUUCUGAUGUAAAGCUCAUAAAACUGAUAGCCCUGAGAUCAGAACGAGGCCCACCUUGAGGAAAAGAGAGAGCCCACUGCCUGCUGGGAAUGAGCCAUCAGACACCAAAGGGGAAGUCUCAUCCUAAGCCUGUGGAUAACAGAGAGGUGCCCUUCUCCUCCAUGAGGUCCCAGGUCUCACAAGUGGAUUGGGGAGCACGCAGGGAGGUUUGUAGGCGUCCCUACAAACAGUACACCUGUGAGGCUUUGAUGCUGAUCACCCAGACCCCUGCACAGACUGUGGCACGCUGACUCCCUGCAGCCGUGCUGUGGGAACCUGAAACUGAAGGAGGGAAUGUUCCUGCUUCCAGCAAUACUUGAACUACAGAACUGAGCAGCCCACCUCCCACGCCUCCAGUCCACUUCCUGGGGGCAUCUUUAUUCCUACACUUUAGGCUUUUGGAACAACACUGACAGAAACACAACAGCAUCUCUAGGAAAAUAAAAGUUAUUCAGACUUCAGCUGGGGAAAAAAGGAAAGGAGCGACCCAGGGAACCACUGAGACUGGGAUACUGCAUGAGCAGUCUUGCCCCAGAGGUGCUCCACUGCACAUGGGGGUGGAACAGAGCCAUAUCCCAGUUACUGAUCUAUGAGCAAAGGAAUCCUCUUGGGAGCAGUGUGUGGUGAUGGGCAAAAGAGAUUCUCUCUGUGCUCCACGCCCAGUGGAAAAGCUGCUCUCCAGUCACACUUGAGGAGGAGGACUGACCUGCCCCUGAAACCCACAGCACACCUGGCACACCACCCAGGACUGGCAGAGACCUUGCAAAAAACAAGAGCUGUUGGAGCAACACUGCCUGUUUCUGACCUGCAGGUGUCUGAACUGACUGCACACUGGGGUGUUGUCAGCCCCAAGCUGCAGAAACACCCCACACCCAAAUUCUGACAUCAGCACUGAAAGGGCAGAUGUCCCUGCAGCACGCUGCACAAAGACAGCCAACUAACAGGCUGACAUCAAGCUCCCCACUGCUCGUGGUCUCUGCAAACUCCACCUCUGUUUAUCAAUUCUGCCUUGCCAGAGAUCUUUCCCCUGCUUUGUGCAACAUUUCUUCUUGUGGAAAAUGUGCUUUGUGGAUCUUCCAGGACCUCUAUAGCCUGUCACAGACCAGGCCUGGCUCUCCUGGACUUUUUUUUUCCAACCUCACUGCUGUCUCUUAUAAGUUCUCAGUGUUUAACCCCAAAGCAGGAUGGCUCCUGCAGCUUUUCAGUAUUUAGCCUGCCAUUCCCUCAGCACAUGCUGUGGAACAGAGCUGUACCAGGCAGCACAGUGCUACACAAACAACUUUCCCUUCCAAGACUCUAAUGAAGGUUGUGUUCCAUGUAAUUGUGAGAACAAUGCACUAGUAAUAAGCCAUGAGCAGCCCAACCGUACAGAGACAAUUAGCAAAAUACGCUAAGUGUCAAUUUGUCUUGCAACCUCACUCGGUUUCGCUUAGCCCCAAUUGCAGUUCAAAAGUUUUUGGCAGCAGGCAGCACCAUAAAUCAUAACUUGCCUGGCAUCUGUUCCUGCCCAGAACUAUAAACUGCAUACGGGGUUUGGGUAGGUCAUCAUCACAGCUGGAUUCUUCACGUAAUGAUUUCAAGAAUUGGAGAAGCUCUAUGGCUGUGUAAAGCAUUUGCUUCCUGGGAUAGAGGUCAGAAUAACCAGGAACUGCUGGAAGGACACAGCUGCUGACACAUUCUGGUCAGACUUGGCAUGCUAACAACUCUGAACAACUAAGGAUUUCUAGGGCCACCAGUGUCCUUUCUUCCCUGUGGAUCCAUUCAAGCUUGCACCUCUGUUUGCAUCAGUGCUCACCAGAAGCUGACCACAAAUCAGGCUGCUGUGAUUUUUGGGGAAAGGCAGCAUGAGUCUCUAAGCAAAGUGUAUAUCCUGUAACAGAGCAAAUGUAUCCAACUUGCUAUUUCCAGAACCUGUUUUUAAAGAGAAAACAUUCACCUCUAAAAGCUCAUCCUUGCAAGGCUUGUGCAAAACCCCCAGCACAACAGGAUCGCUUCCACACUUGGUGUGUGCACAAAGAUCCCUGCAGCUUUAUCUCCUGGUCGGCGCACAAAGCCUGUCCCUGGAGCACAGUCCACAGACACACUCCCAGCAGAGU